rnacentral:rRNA from 1 species
AACGUAGGUUCCGAGCGUUAUCCGGAUUUACUGGGCGUAAAGCGCGUUCAGGCGGUUGGGCAAGUCGGGCAUGAAAUCUCUGGGCUCAACCUGGAGAGGGUGUCCGAUACUGCGGAACUGGAGGGCGGUAGAGGGUGGUGGAAUUCCGGGUGUAGUGGUGAAAUGCGUAGAGAUCCGGAGGAACACCAGUGGCGAAGGCGGCCACCUGGACUGCACCUGACGCUGAGACGCGAAAGCUAGGGGAGCGAACGGG